UACGGGGGGGGCAAGCGUUGUUCGGAAUUACUGGGCGUAAAGGGCUCGUAGGCGGCCAACUAAGUCGGAUGUGAAAUCCCCAGGCUUAACCUGGGAACUGCAUCCGAUACUGGAUGGCUUGAGUUCGGGAGAGGGAUGCGGAAUUCCAGGUGUAGCGGUGAAAUGCGUAGAUAUCUGGAGGAACACCGGUGGCGAAGGCGGCAUCCUGGACCGACACUGACGCUGAGGAGCGAAAGCCGGGGGAGCAAACGGG
rnacentral:rRNA from 1 species